UAGGGAAUAUUGGUCAAUGGAUGGAAGUCUGAACCAGCCAUGCCGCGUGCAGGAAGAAGGCCUUCUGGGUUGUAAACUGCUUUUGCCAGGGGAUAAAAAGUCCCUGCGGGGAAAAUUGAAGGUACCUGGUGAAUAAGCCACGGCUAACUACGUGCCAGCAGCCGCGGUAAUACGUAGGUGGCGAGCGUUGUCCGGAUUUAUUGGGUUUAAAGGGUGCGUAGGCGGCUUUGUAAGUCAGUGGUGAAAUACUCUAGCUUAACUAGAGGGGUGCCAUUGAUACUGCGGAGCUUGAGUACAGAUGAGGUAGGCGGAAUUGACGGUGUAGCGGUGAAAUGCAUAGAUAUCGUCAAGAACACCGAUAGCGAAGGCAGCUUACUGGGCUGUAACUGACGCUGAGGCACGAAAGUGUGGGGAUCAAACAG
rnacentral:rRNA from 1 species